rnacentral:rRNA from 1 species
CCCGCGGCAAGACGGAAAGACCCCGUGAACCUUUACUAUAGCUUGACACUGAACAUUGAGCCUUGAUGUGUAGGAUAGGUGGGAGGCUUUGAAGUGUGGACGCCAGUCUGCAUGGAGCCGACCUUGAAAUACCACCCUUUAAUGUUUGAUGUUCUAACGUUGACCCGUAAUCCGGGUUGCGGACAGUGUCUGGUGGGUAGUUUGACUGGGGCGGUCUCCUCCUAAAGAGUAACGGAGGAGCACGAAGGUUGGCUAAUCCUGGUCGGACAUCAGGAGGUUAGUGCAAUGGCAUAAGCCAGCUUGACUGCGAGCGUGACGGCGCGAGCAGGUGCGAAAGCAGGUCAUAGUGAUCCGGUGGUUCUGAAUGGAAGGGCCAUCGCUCAACGGAUAAAAGGUACUCCGGGGAUAACAGGCUGAUACCGCCCAAGAGUUCAUAUCGACGGCGGUGUUUGGCACCU